rnacentral:snRNA from 1 species
GUGCUCACUUCAGCAGCACAUAUACUAAAAUUGGAAUGAUUCAGAGAAGAUUAGCAUGGCCUCUGUGCAAGGAUGACAUGCAAAUUUGGGAAACAUUCCAUAUUUUU